rnacentral:rRNA from 1 species
UACGUAGGGUGCGAGCGUUAAUCGGAAUUACUGGGCGUAAAGCGUGCGCAGGCGGUUCGCAAAGUCUGAUGUGAAAGCCCCGGGCUCAACCUGGGAACUGCAUUGGAAACUAACGGGCUCGAGUGUGGCAGAGGGGGGUGGAAUUCCACGUGUAGCAGUGAAAUGCGUAGAGAUGUGGAGGAACACCGAUGGCGAAGGCAGCCCCCUGGGCUAACACUGACGCUCAGGCACGAAAGCGUGGGGAGCAAACGGG